GACGAACGCUGGCGGCGUGCUUAACACAUGCAAGUCGAACGGAAAGGCCCUGCUUUUGUGGGGUGCUCGAGUGGCGAACGGGUGAAUAACACGUGAGUAACCUGCCCUUGACUUUGGGAUAACUUCAGGAAACUGGGGCUAAUACCGGAUAGGAGCUCCUGCUGCAUGGUGGGGGUUGGAAAGUUUCGGCGGUUGGGGAUGGACUCGCGGCUUAUCAGCUUGUUGGUGGGGUAGUGGCUUACCAAGGCUUUGACGGGUAGCCGGCCUGAGAGGGUGACCGGCCACAUUGGGACUGAGAUACGGCCCAGACUCCUACGGGAGGCAGCAGUGGGGAAUAAUGCACAAUGGGCGGAAGCCUGAUGCAGCAACGCCGCGUGCGGGAUGACGGCCUUCGGGUUGUAAACCGCUUUCGCCUGUGACGAAGCGUGAGUGACGGUAAUGGGUAAAGAAGCACCGGCUAACUACGUG
rnacentral:rRNA from 1 species